UUAAGUUAUUAAGGGCGCACGGUGGAUGCCUUGGCACUAGAAGCCGAUGAAGGACGUUACUAACGACGAUAUGCUUUGGGGAGCUGUAAGUAAGCUUUGAUCCAGAGAUUUCCGAAUGGGGAAACCCAGCAUGAGUUAUGUCAUGUUAUCGAUAUGUGAAUACAUAGCAUAUCAGAAGGCACACCCGGAGAACUGAAACAUCUUAGUANNNNNNNNNNNNNNNNNNNNNNNNNCCGGAGGAAGAGAAAGAAAAUUCGAUUCCCUUAGUAGCGGCGAGCGAAACGGGAAGAGCCCAAACCAACAAGCUUGCUUGUUGGGGUUGUAGGACACUCUAUACGGAGUUACAAAGGACGACAUUAGACGAAUCAUCUGGAAAGAUGAAUCAAAGAAGGUAAUAAUCCUGUAGUCGAAAAUGUUGUCUCUCUUGAGUGGAUCCUGAGUACGACGGAGCACGUGAAAUUCCGUCGGAAUCUGGGAGGACCAUCUCCUAAGGCUAAAUACUCUCUAGUGACCGAUAGUGAACCAGUACCGUGAGGGAAAGGUGAAAAGCACCCCGGAAGGGGAGUGAAAUAGAACCUGAAACCGUGUGCUUACAAGUAGUCAGAGCCCGUUAAUGGGUGAUGGCGUGCCUUUUGUAGAAUGAACCGGCGAGUUACGAUUUGAUGCAAGGUUAAGCAGUAAAUGUGGAGCCGUAGCGAAAGCGAGUCUGAAUAGGGCGUUUAGUAUUUGGUCGUAGACCCGAAACCAGGUGAUCUACCCUUGGUCAGGUUGAAGUUCAGGUAACACUGAAUGGAGGACCGAACCGACUUACGUUGAAAAGUGAGCGGAUGAACUGAGGGUAGCGGAGAAAUUCCAAUCGAACCUGGAGAUAGCUGGUUCUCUCCGAAAUAGCUUUAGGGCUAGCCUCAAGUGAUGAUUAUUGGAGGUAGAGCACUGUUUGGACGAGGGGCCCCUCUCGGGUUACCGAAUUCAGACAAACUCCGAAUGCCAAUUAAUUUAACUUGGGAGUCAGAACAUGGGUGAUAAGGUCCGUGUUCGAAAGGGAAACAGCCCAGACCACCAGCUAAGGUCCCAAAAUAUAUGUUAAGUGGAAAAGGAUGUGGCGUUGCCCAGACAACUAGGAUGUUGGCUUAGAAGCAGCCAUCAUUUAAAGAGUGCGUAAUAGCUCACUAGUCGAGUGACACUGCGCCGAAAAUGUACCGGGGCUAAACAUAUUACCGAAGCUGUGGAUUGUCCUUUGGACAAUGGUAGGAGAGCGUUCUAAGGGCGUUGAAGCAUGAUCGUAAGGACAUGUGGAGCGCUUAGAAGUGAGAAUGCCGGUGUGAGUAGCGAAAGACGGGUGAGAAUCCCGUCCACCGAUUGACUAAGGUUUCCAGAGGAAGGCUCGUCCGCUCUGGGUUAGUCGGGUCCUAAGCUGAGGCCGACAGGCGUAGGCGAUGGAUAACAGGUUGAUAUUCCUGUACCACCUAUAAUCGUUUUAAUCGAUGGGGGGACGCAGUAGGAUAGGCGAAGCGUGCGAUUGGAUUGCACGUCUAAGCAGUAAGGCUGAGUAUUAGGCAAAUCCGGUACUCGUUAAGGCUGAGCUGUGAUGGGGAGAAGACAUUGUGUCUUCGAGUCGUUGAUUUCACACUGCCGAGAAAAGCCUCUAGAUAGAAAAUAGGUGCCCGUACCGCAAACCGACACAGGUAGUCAAGAUGAGAAUUCUAAGGUGAGCGAGCGAACUCUCGUUAAGGAACUCGGCAAAAUGACCCCGUAACUUCGGGAGAAGGGGUGCUCUUUAGGGUUAACGCCCAGAAGAGCCGCAGUGAAUAGGCCCAAGCGACUGUUUAUCAAAAACACAGGUCUCUGCUAAACCGUAAGGUGAUGUAUAGGGGCUGACGCCUGCCCGGUGCUGGAAGGUUAAGAGGAGUGGUUAGCUUCUGCGAAGCUACGAAUCGAAGCCCCAGUAAACGGCGGCCGUAACUAUAACGGUCCUAAGGUAGCGAAAUUCCUUGUCGGGUAAGUUCCGACCCGCACGAAAGGCGUAACGAUUUGGGCACUGUCUCAACGAGAGACUCGGUGAAAUCAUAGUACCUGUGAAGAUGCAGGUUACCCGCGACAGGACGGAAAGACCCCGUGGAGCUUUACUGUAGCCUGAUAUUGAAAUUCGGCACAGCUUGUACAGGAUAGGUAGGAGCCUUUGAAACGUGAGCGCUAGCUUACGUGGAGGCGCUGGUGGGAUACUACCCUAGCUGUGUUGGCUUUCUAACCCGCACCACUUAUCGUGGUGGGAGACAGUGUCAGGCGGGCAGUUUGACUGGGGCGGUCGCCUCCUAAAAGGUAACGGAGGCGCUCAAAGGUUCCCUCAGAAUGGUUGGAAAUCAUUCAUAGAGUGUAAAGGCAUAAGGGAGCUUGACUGCGAGACCUACAAGUCGAGCAGGGUCGAAAGACGGACUUAGUGAUCCGGUGGUUCCGCAUGGAAGGGCCAUCGCUCAACGGAUAAAAGCUACCCCGGGGAUAACAGGCUUAUCUCCCCCAAGAGUUCACAUCGACGGGGAGGUUUGGCACCUCGAUGUCGGCUCAUCGCAUCCUGGGGCUGUAGUCGGUCCCAAGGGUUGGGCUGUUCGCCCAUUAAAGCGGUACGCGAGCUGGGUUCAGAACGUCGUGAGACAGUUCGGUCCCUAUCCGUCGUGGGCGUAGGAAAUUUGAGAGGAGCUGUCCUUAGUACGAGAGGACCGGGAUGGACAUACCUCUGGUGUACCAGUUGUCGUGCCAACGGCAUAGCUGGGUAGCUAUGUGUGGACGGGAUAAGUGCUGAAAGCAUCUAAGCAUGAAGCCCCCCUCAAGAUGAGAUUUCCCAACUUCGGUUAUAAGAUCCCUCAAAGAUGAUGAGGUUAAUAGGUUCGAGGUGGAAGCAUGGUGACAUGUGGAGCUGACGAAUACUAAUCGAUCGAAGACUUAAUCAA
rnacentral:rRNA from 1 species